ensembl:lncRNA
GGGGAAGGGACUCCUCAUUAUUGCUCUGGCUGGGAAUAAUGAGGCCUCGUGGUAAUAGCCCCUUGCACUCCCAGGCCCCUCUGACAAAAGGACGCAGCGGCUGCGGACGGGCUCGACAAAGUGAGAAGUGAAUGGUGCAUAAUGGGACACUUAGGGGCUUAGCCCGGGCUGGGGGGCACUGGGAAGGACCCUCCGGCUGUGGCUCCAGGUGCUGAAGGACCCCACCGGCCAGAAACCCACACCAAUAGUCUGCCGUUUCUCUGCUUCAGUGUGGCUUGGUCAAGAGCCUUCAGCUGCAAACCCAGGUCAUCUGGGCUUUUCCUAAUAUGGACUGAGCGCCUCUAAGUGCCAAGGGCUGCUCUGCAUGCCAGGGCACCAGCCUGCACCAACAGACCCCAGGACCUCUGGCUUCAUGAGGCUAGUGCGCAAGAACAACAUGAAUCCAAAAAAUAAAUAAAUAAGCAAAAUCCAUAGAGACGGUGAUGAAUGCUCUGGAGAAAAACAGAAAGAGAAAGGGGACAUAAGGACUGGAGUCAAGGUGGAGAAUUCAACUUAAAUAGGGUGCUUCUAGAAGGCCAGAUUUUGUUCAGCCUUUUCUUGCGGAAAAUGUUAAAUAGACGCAAAACUCAACAGACUAGUCUAAUGGACCCCCACCUGCCCUUCAUUCAGCUUCCACAACUGCCAAUCUUGUUUCAUCUGCACCUCCGUCUACUCUCUCCCGCCUUCCAUGUCACUCUGAAGCAAAUGCCAGCCUUCUCCUGUCACGGAGGAUGUGAUUUGAGCAAAGACCAAAGGAGAUGAGGAAGACAGCCACGUGGCCAUUUGGGAGGUGAGCAUUCUAGGCAGAGUGCUGUGCCUGGGAUUCGAAGCUCAGCCCUGCCUCUCCUGGCUGUGUAACCUACAGGAGUCCCCUAACUGCUCUGAACCUCGGUUUUGUCAUCUGUGAAACGAAGCUUGUGCCCUCACCCCACAAGGACCUUGUAGGGAUGGGAUGAGAAUCUCCAUGAGUGUUUUAAAAAAUAGAACAAUGCAAGACUUCCCUGGUGGUCCAGUGGCUAAGACUCUAGGCUCCCAGCACAAGGAGCCCAGGCUCAAUCUCUGCUCAGUCAUGUCUGACUCUUUGAGACCCCAUGGACUGUGGCCCACCAGGCUCCUCUGUCUAUGGGAUUUUUCAGGCAAGAAUACUGGAGUGGGUUGCCAAUCUUCCCCACCCAGAGACUGAACCUGUCUCCUGCAUUGGUAGGCAGAUUCUUCACGCUGAGCCACCUGGGAAGCCCAGAUUGGGGAGGAGCUCUGGGGGUGAUUUCCUGCAGAAGGUUACCCCUGAACUUAGUCUAGCAGGUCACAGUGAUGGGGAGGGAGCUUGGACCCAGAGCUGGGCCGUAUUUGCUGGCCUACCCCUCACCCCUACCCCCAUGGAUGGGCCACAGGACCCCAGGCUGCUGGAAACAAGAAAAGGGCCAAAGGCCCGGAUGGCCAACUGUUCUCUGAGAGGCUUGGCCCCCUUUAAAGAAACUUACCAUCACCUCCACCUCUCUCCCAGGGUGAUUAUCACCCAAAGAGGCCUUUCCUGGGAGGAACACAAAGAGACCCCCCUACUCCCAUCCUCUAGGCAGGAUAAUGGGCCAUUCACACUGAGGGGACCCCAGCCCCACACCUGGCCUCUCAGGCAGCCCCCGACAGCCCCUUUGUCCCAGGCCUGCCCUGCACACGGGUGUCGGUUGUGGUUGUCGGUGGCAGGGACGCCCUAGUCCCCAGCUGGAGCACUCCUGGCCCUCCCCCCACCUCUCCAGCCGCCUGGACUCUGGGCUCCGUCUGGGGGGAACUGGGCUCACCAUUCACCCCACACCGCUCACUAGGAAUUUCACUCCUCUCGAGAGUCCUUACAGAGCUAUGGGAAAAUGGGAGGGAAUAAUUAGGAAAAUCAUUAGCGUCUCAAGGCCCAUCUGAGAGGGAUUAAGGGAUUAAAAGCCUUCCAACCAAUCUCUCCUACUUUAAGGUUGUUGUAGCGGUUUUGUUUUCAGGACUUUUUUUUUUUUUCCUCUCUCUCUCUUCUUUUUUCCUGGGUUGGGGGAAGACUAAAGUCUUGGUGGAUUCUUCCUUCAAAAGCUGCAGGAAAAAGUCAAGACAUUGAAGUCUGAGGGGAGAAGAAUGGGGAAGGGCAGGGAGCAACAUAUACCGCUGUCUCUGAGCAGCGCAGGGUCCAGUGGGGUGCUUGCGAGCGUGCUAAGUCCCUUCAGCCUUCAGUUGUGUCUGGCUCUGCAACGCUGUGGACUACAGCCCACCAAGCACCUCUAGCCAUGGGAUUCUCCAGGAAAGAAUACUGGAGUGGUUUGCCAGGCCCUACUCCAGGGGAUUUGUCCAGUCCAGGGAUUGAACCUGUGUCUCUUAUGUCUCCUGCAUUGGCAGGCAAGUUUUUUUUUUUUUUUUUUUACCGCUAGUGCUACCCGGGGAGCCCCUAGUGAGAGUGAGCAGCCUCAGAGCCAAGCGGGGUCUGCUUGGAUCCUGCCCAGGGA